AAACAGAAAAGGAAAAGUCCUGUUGUCAAGACCUCCAAGGACAAGAACCAGUGAAGCCUGGGCCAUUGUGAGGAUUGAAUGAGCUAAUGCAUGCCCACGUGCCCACCUCAUGGUGGGAGCAAGCCAUUGCCUCCCCCUCAGAGGACCCAGUGGAGAGAAGGUUGACAGCUUGGCAUUCUCUUUGGAAUGGCUGUUGACUUCGCACUGCCAUCCACAGAAGAGCUCCAUAACCCCACCCAAGGGCACGGAAUGGCCUUUCCUUAAAGGUGAAGCACAACAUCAUUCUCAAGUGCCUUUGCAAAUAACGAAGACCAGAACUGGUCAUUUACCCAGGCCGAGCCAGACCUAUAUGAUACAUCAAAAGCAGAACAGAAAGAAAGGGAAUGAGAGAAUCCAAAUGAGUUUAUUUGUCCAUUAAAUAAAUAUGCAAAAUUAUGCAGAUGUGGAA
rnacentral:lncRNA from 10 species